rnacentral:rRNA from 1 species
ACUGUCUCUUAUUAAAUUUUUGAAUUUAAUUUUUAAGUUAAAAAGCUUAAAUUUUUUUAUAGGACGAGAAGACCCUAUAGAAUUUUAUUUUAAAUUAAGUAAUUAAAUUUAAUUUAUUUAAUUACUUAAUUUAAUAUUUUGUUGGGGCGAUAGGAAAAUUAAUAAAACUUUUUUAAUUUUUUUUCAUUAAUUUAUGAAUUUAUUGAUCUUAAAUUU